rnacentral:lncRNA from 12 species
UUCAGGGCCCGAUCCUCAUCCCUCACUGAGGGAUGGAAAACAUUGAGAGAUCUCUAAAGCCAACAAGUUCAGGGCCCAGAUUUCUCCUCUCUAAGCCACAGCUGCCCAAAAGCUUGAUUCAACAGGAUGUUGACCUGGAUCUCUCAGAACAGCUCAUGGAGAGGAAAGACCCUCUGACACAAAACCACGUCACUGCAGAGGGAACUGUAAUGUCAGGGAGGGCAUCUGGAAGAUCAAAGUGGGGAUGAACCAAUCACUCCAAGAUCACUCCAAGCUGAAUGGUUUUGCAUGGCUGAAUUUUAUUUCCAGCCUUUUGAAGCACAGCUCAUGAGUCUUAACAAGGAAAGAACUUCUGUGUAAAAUUCAGUAAAUCAAAAAAGCUG